CUCCAGAUGAGCAUGGGGGGAAAGCACCGCCAAACUCCCUAAGAAUUCAGCAACCAAUCAGCUGCGCCAUGGUCACCAGAGGACAAACAGGAAGGGAAAACAGGAAUUGAAUCCUCUAGCUUGCAGUCACGUGCUUCUGCUUCUCAGAGACUUGCUUACAGAGAAGAGCUGUGUCACCUCAUCCAGCAAGGCAGAGCUAAAGGAUUGCAAAAAGGAAAUCUUGAAGAUAUCACAGUAGAGAUGGAGAGGCAUCAUUUCAUCCAAGAGCAGCUCCCAAUCCAUGUUACCUAAAAUCUACGACACUUGGGAAGCCAUUCUGAUGACUACUAAUGCAAAAUUGUUUUCAGAAGACUUAUGCUAAGUAAAUCUCGAUGCCUUCUUCUUGUGAAUAUAUGUUUGCUAAAAGUAUUUAACCCGGCGG